AAAUAUUAACAUAAAUUGAAAAAAGCAAAAAUGUUGAAAAAUAGCAGUAGAAAACGCAAUAUUAAAAAUACAUAUUAGACUUGAAUCAUAUAUCAUCUCGAAUCCAUCUGAUUGAAGUUAACACGCAUCAGUUGCGCAGCUACAGUCCGACUUUUAAACUGAACACCUUUUCCACACGACUUUCGGAAACAAAAGUAACGGAACAUUGGAAACUAUGAAACUCGGAUGAAGCAAAAAUACACGCACCUACUCAAUCAAUAAUUACCUGCAGUGACCUACAAUGACUUACCAAUACUUACCAGACUUACCAAUAAUCAAGAAUCACGAAUCACCUUACAAACCGCACAUGCACGGGUAAUUCGCCUAACACGUGACGGCGCGCGAGUACGCGCGACCGAUUCACGUGAGCUAUGCGAAUUUGCCAUCAUGGAUCAUAUGUAUAAAAAAAAAAAAAAAAAAAGUAGUUAAUCGGCCAAUGCGAUUUCAAGCUUACGGUACCGCGACCGCACCACCUGAACCAGACAUUACCAUUCCACUACGCGUCGCCACAUCAUCCAUACCACCUAUACU